UCGGGAAUUUUGGGCAAUGGGCGAAAGCCUGACCCAGCAACGCCGCGUGAAGGAUGAAGUAUUUCGGUAUGUAAACUUCGAAAGAAUAGGAAGAAUAAAUGACGGUACUAUUUAUAAGGUCCGGCUAACUACGUGCCAGCAGCCGCGGUAAUACGUAGGGACCAAGCGUUGUUCGGAUUUACUGGGCGUAAAGCGCGUGUAGGCGGACUUGUAAGUUGGGGGUGAAAUCCCGAGGCUCAACCUCGGAACUGCCUCCAAAACUACAAAUCUGGACCUAAGUAGAGGCAAGUGGAAUUGCGAGUGUAGAGGUGAAAUUCGUAGAUAUUCGCAGGAACACCAGUGGCGAAGGCGACUUGCUGGACUUAUGGUGACGCUGAGACGCGAAAGCGUGGGGAGCAAACAGGAUUAGAUACCCCCGUAGUCCCUGAGCGGGCUGGCAAGGCGCAU
rnacentral:rRNA from 1 species